GGGGAAUAUUGCACAAUGGGCGCAAGCCUGAUGCAGCCAUGCCGCGUGUAUGAAGAAGGCCUUCGGGUUGUAAAGUACUUUCAGCGAGGAGGAAGGCGUUGUGGUUAAUAACCUCACCGAUUGACGUUACCCGCAGAAGAAGCACCGGCUAACUCUGUGCCAGCAGCCGCGGUAAUAAGGAGGGUGCAAGCGUUAAUCGGAAUUACUGGGCGUAAAGCGCACGCAGGCGGUCUGUCAAGUCGGAUGUGAAAUCCCCGGGCUCAACCUGGGAACUGCAUUCGAAACUGGCAGGCUAGAGUCUUGUAGAGGGGGGUAGAAUUCCAGGUGUAGCGGUGAAAUGCGUAGAGAUCUGGAGGAAUACCGGUGGCGAAGGCGGCCCCCUGGACAAAGACUGACGCUCAGGUGCGAAAGCGUGGGGAGCAAAC
rnacentral:rRNA from 1 species